AGAUAUAUGGAGCUUGCUUUAUAUAACUUAGCAGCGAACGGGUGAGUAACACGUAGAUAAUCUAUCCUAUACUGGGGGAUAGCCCGAUGAAAGUUGGAUUAAUACCGCAUAUAGCUAUAUAGUUGCAUGAUUAUGUAGUGAAAGAUUUAUUGGUAUAGGAGGAGUCUGCGGCACAUUAGCUAGUAGGUGAGGUAAAGGCUUACCUAGGCGACGAUGUGUAGCCGGUCUGAGAGGAUGAACGGCCACAAUGGAACUGAGACACGGUCCAUACUCCUACGGGAGGCAGCAGUGGGGAAUAUUGCACAAUGGGGGAAACCCUGAUGCAGCAACGCCGCGUGAGUGAAGAAGGUUUUCGGAUUGUAAAGCUCUGUUAGCAGGGAAGAGGAAGGACGGUACCUGCAGAGGAAGCCACGGCUAACUACGUGCCAGCAGCCGCGGUAAUACGUAGGUGGCAAGCGUUGUUCGGAAUAACUGGGCGUAAAGGAUGCGUAGGCGGUUAAACAAGUUAUAUGUUAAAUAUAUAGGCUUAACCUGUAGAAAGCAUAUAAAACUGUUUAACUAGAGUGCAGGAGAGGUAAGUGGAAUUCCUAGUGUAGCGGUGAAAUGCGUAGAGAUUAGGAAGAACACCAGUGGCGAAGGCGACUUACUGGACUGUAACUGACGCUGAGGCAUGAGAGCAUGGGGAGCAAACAGGAUUAGAUACCCUGGUAGUCCAUGCUGUAAACGAUGGGUACUAGGUGUGGGUUGUGAAUAACAAUUCGUGCCGUC
rnacentral:rRNA from 1 species